CCUGCUCAAAAUCCUACUUCCACCUCCCCGCGGCGAGCAGGGGGCAACGGACAUUUGUCCGGCGAACGGAAGA
rnacentral:ribozyme from 1 species